rnacentral:tRNA from 1 species
GAGGGUAUAGCUCAGUGGUAGAGUGUGUGCUUAGCAUGUACGAAGUCAUGGGUUCAGUCCCUAGUACCUCCG